rnacentral:rRNA from 1 species
CGCGGCCUAUCAGCUUGUUGGUGAGGUAACGGCUCACCAAGGCAUCGACGGGUAGCUGGUCUGAGAGGACGAUCAGCCACACUGGGACUGAGACACGGCCCAGACUCCUGCGGGAGGCAGCAGUGGGGAAUCUUGCGCAAUGGGCGAAAGCCUGACGCAGCAACGCCGCGUGGGGGAUGAAGGCUCUCGGGUUGUAAACCCCUUUCAGCAGGGACGAAAUUGACGGUACCUGCAGAAGAAGCCCCGGCCAACUACGUGCCAGCAGCCGCGGUGACACGUAGUGGGCGAGCGUUGUCCGGAAUUAUUGGGCGUAAAGAGCUCGUAGGCGGUUUAGUAAGUCAGAUGUGAAAGGUUGGGGCUCAACCCUAAGACUGCAUCCGAUACUGCUAUGACUAGAGUCCGGUAGAGGAGUGUGGAAUUCCUGGUGUAGCGGUGAAAUGCGCAGAUAUCAGGAGGAACACCGACGGCGAAGGCAGCACUCUGGGCCGGUACUGACGCUCAGGAGCGAAAGCGUGGGUAGCAAACAGGAUUAGAUACCCUGGUAGUCCACGCCGUAAACGUUGGGCACUAGGUGUGGGGCCUUAUCAACGGGUUCCGUGCCGUAGCUAACGCAUUAAGUGCCCCGCCUGGGGAGUACGG